UUUAUGGAGAGUUUGAUCCUGGCUCAGGAUGAACGCUGGCGGCGUGCCUAAUACAUGCAAGUCGAGCGAACGGACGAGAAGCUUGCUUCUCUGAUGUUAGCGGCGGACGGGUGAGUAACACGUGGAUAACUUACCUAUAAGACUGGGAUAACUUCGGGAAACCGGAGCUAAUACCGGAUAAUAUUUUGAACCGCAUGGUUCAAAAGUGAAAGACGGUCUUGCUGUCACUUAUAGAUGGAUCCGCGCUGCAUUAGCUAGUUGGUAAGGUAACGGCUUACCAAGGCAACGAUGCAUAGCCGACCUGAGAGGGUGAUCGGCCACACUGGAACUGAGACACGGUCCAGACUCCUACGGGAGGCAGCAGUAGGGAAUCUUCCGCAAUGGGCGAAAGCCUGACGGAGCAACGCCGCGUGAGUGAUGAAGGUCUUCGGAUCGUAAAACUCUGUUAUUAGGGAAGAACAUAUGUGUAAGUAACUGUGCACAUCUUGACGGUACCUAAUCAGAAAGCCACGGCUAACUACGUGCCAGCAGCCGCGGUAAUACGUAGGUGGCAAGCGUUAUCCGGAAUUAUUGGGCGUAAAGCGCGCGUAGGCGGUUUUUUAAGUCUGAUGUGAAAGCCCACGGCUCAACCGUGGAGGGUCAUUGGAAACUGGAAAACUUGAGUGCAGAAGAGGAAAGUGGAAUUCCAUGUGUAGCGGUGAAAUGCGCAGAGAUAUGGAGGAACACCAGUGGCGAAGGCGACUUUCUGGUCUGUAACUGACGCUGAUGUGCGAAAGCGUGGGGAUCAAACAGGAUUAGAUACCCUGGUAGUCCACGCCGUAAACGAUGAGUGCUAAGUGUUAGGGGGUUUCCGCCCCUUAGUGCUGCAGCUAACGCAUUAAGCACUCCGCCUGGGGAGUACGACCGCAAGGUUGAAACUCAAAGGAAUUGACGGGGACCCGCACAAGCGGUGGAGCAUGUGGUUUAAUUCGAAGCAACGCGAAGAACCUUACCAAAUCUUGACAUCCUUUGACAACUCUAGAGAUAGAGCCUUCCCCUUCGGGGGACAAAGUGACAGGUGGUGCAUGGUUGUCGUCAGCUCGUGUCGUGAGAUGUUGGGUUAAGUCCCGCAACGAGCGCAACCCUUAAGCUUAGUUGCCAUCAUUAAGUUGGGCACUCUAAGUUGACUGCCGGUGACAAACCGGAGGAAGGUGGGGAUGACGUCAAAUCAUCAUGCCCCUUAUGAUUUGGGCUACACACGUGCUACAAUGGACAAUACAAAGGGCAGCGAAACCGCGAGGUCAAGCAAAUCCCAUAAAGUUGUUCUCAGUUCGGAUUGUAGUCUGCAACUCGACUACAUGAAGCUGGAAUCGCUAGUAAUCGUAGAUCAGCAUGCUACGGUGAAUACGUUCCCGGGUCUUGUACACACCGCCCGUCACACCACGAGAGUUUGUAACACCCGAAGCCGGUGGAGUAACCUUUUAGGAGCUAGCCGUCGAAGGUGGGACAAAUGAUUGGGGUGAAGUCGUAACAAGGUAGCCGUAUCGGAAGGUGCGGCUGGAUCACCUCCUUUCU
rnacentral:rRNA from 1 species